rnacentral:rRNA from 1 species
AAUAUUGGACAAUGGGGGCAACCCUGAUCCAGCCAUGCCGCGUGUGUGAAGAAGGUCUUCGGAUUGUACAGCACUUUCAGUUGGGAGGAAGGGCUUUAGGUCAAUACACUGAAGUUUUGACGUUACCAACAGAAUAAGCACCGUCUAACUCUGUGCCAGCAGCCGCGGUAAUACAGAGGGUGCAAGCGUUAAUCGGAAUUACUGGGCGUAAAGGGCGCGAAGGUGGUUCAGUAAGAUGAGUGGGAAACCCCCGGGCUUAACCUGGGAACUGCUUUGAUAACUGCUGAGCUAGAGUACGGUAGAGGGUAGUGGAAUUUCCUGUGUAGCGGUGAAAGGCGUAGAUAUAGGAAGGAACACCAGUGGCGAAGGCGACUACCUGGACUGAUACUGACACUGAGGUGCGAAAGCGUGGGGAGCAAAC